GAUGAACGCUGGCGGCGUGCUUAACACAUGCAAGUCGAACGGGAAACCUUUUAUUGAAGCUUCGGCAGAUUUAGAUUGUUUCUAGUGGCGGACGGGUGAGUAACGCGUGGGUAACCUGCCUUAUACAGGGGGAUAACAGUCAGAAAUGACUGCUAAUACCGCAUAAGCGCACAGAGCUGCAUGGCUCGGUGUGAAAAACUCCGGUGGUAUAAGAUGGACCCGCGUUGGAUUAGCUAGUUGGUGAGGUAACGGCCCACCAAGGCAACGAUCCAUAGCCGGCCUGAGAGGGUGAACGGCCACAUUGGGACUGAGACACGGCCCAGACUCCUACGGGAGGCAGCAGUGGGGAAUAUUGCACAAUGGGGGAAGCCCUGAUGCAGCGACGCCGCGUGAAGGAAGAAGUAUCUCGGUAUGUAAACUUCUAUCAGCAGGGAAGAAAAUGACGGU
rnacentral:rRNA from 1 species